GUUGUACGUUUUGUCACAUGAUUUCAUCACGUAAUUUAUUCUUUAGGAUUUUAAUGUGCUUUAUUGGAGGAACUCACCAAACUUGAAAAUGGAAACACCAAAGUAUGCUGUGUUUAUUGGGACUUUUGUCUCAAGGAUUCAGAAACACUGUUCUUCCCACAAAUUGGAGUGACAUGUGAAUCAUGUGAUGGUGUGGCACAUGCAUCUGGAAUCACCAUGUAUAAUCAAGUUUACUUAUGAGUGGGGUGUUGCUUUUAUCUGGCAUCUUUCUCUCAACAUAUACUUAAUAAUUAAUGAAGUUAACAAAGUGAUAUUAUUCUUUGAACAACUUUGGUCUGAUGAAUGAGAAAUUAAAAUUCUUCUAGAGUACUUGCGUGUCACGCGGCUUUCCUGCUAUUCCACAGCCUAGAUGUGUCAUUAAUCAAGUUGUUUUGAAAACAACCCAAUAGAUGUUCUACUUCAGCUGUAGGCCUACCCCUUUUGGUUGUUACUACGAGAAAAUGAGAUGGCAUCUUGUAUCAGUCUCGCCAGUCUUUAAGUCAUCAUCGUGGUGCUGUACAAAUAUACAGCAAACAAGUAGAUGUCUUUGCACAUCCAUUAAUACUGCAAAAGAAUUCUUUGUUGAUUAAAGAAAAAGUUCAAUAUCGGCUGCAAUCUGCAGAAUAAUCCAACUCGUCGCAGACUCGCAAUAAGUGAUGAUUUUCCUUAUGGCGACGUUUGAAGUAAUAGGAUGAAGACGGUUAAUGUUUGUUCUACGUUUUAUCAAUUUGUUGGCCAUUUUUAUGAUUCUAAGCAUUAAGCAGUGGUUGAAGUUGUCAUGUUGUCAAUAGGUGGGGUUUGAAUUCGUCAACCAGAGGUGUCGCACUCUUUUCUCUUCCAUGUCCAGGGAAUUUACCUGUGCAGAGUCUCUCCCUGUCUUGAUUGGUUGGACUUUGCAGGAUUAAAGUAAAAACUGAAUUAUUUAAACCUUGUCCGAAACAAGAGCUUAAAUUGGUAACAUGAAAAUAAUUAUAAUAAAGAAUAAUUUAACAAGAAAAAUGAAAUUAACCUGAAAUAUAUAAUACGUUGUAGUAUAUACGGUUAUAGAAAAAUUUACAAGUACAACAUUGAGAAUCUUCGAUUUAUUUUCCAUGCUUACGUUUCGUCAUCCUUAUAUGUUGUAUGUAUGUGACGGGACAAACGAACACAUUGAAAUAUGCCAACAAGGUCAGUAGCAGCUUUAAGCACACUUAUCAGUUAUCACCAUCUCCUCAUUGGGCAGCUUAAACAUCAUACAAGAUACAACCA